UUGGAAAGUCCGACACGAAUUUAGAUAAUAAUCCAAUUAUUCUGUAAAAACAGAAGAAUCCCUUUAAAAGAAAUUAAACAUUCUUUUUCUGUUUCUUCUUCUGAGUUGUAAAAAAAUUCUAGAAGAAUCCCCUAAAAGAAUUCGGCGAGCUGAUUAUUCUUAUCUUCGUCAUUUCCUAGAUAAUAAAUACAUAACAAAACUCGGCUUAU
rnacentral:RNase_P_RNA from 1 species